rnacentral:rRNA from 1 species
UACGUAGGGUGCAAGCGUUAAUCGGAAUUACUGGGCGUAAAGCGUGCGCAGGCGGUGAUGUAAGACAGGUGUGAAAGCCCCGGGCUCAACCUGGGAAUGGCAUUGGAAACUGGCUUGCUAGAGUGUGGCAGAGGGGGGUGGAAUUCCGCGUGUAGCAGUGAAAUGCGUAGAGAUGCGGAGGAACACCGAUGGCGAAGGCAGCCCCCUGGGCCGACACUGACGCUCAGGCACGAAAGCGUGGGGAGCAAACAGG